CUUUUAUGGAGAGUUUGAUCCUGGCUCAGGACGAACGCUGGCGGCGUGCCUAAUACAUGCAAGUCGAGCGGA
rnacentral:rRNA from 1 species